GUGCACGCUGGCGGUCGGCCUAACACAUGCAAGUCGAACGGCAGCACCGUAAGAGCUUGCUCUUACGGGUGGCGAGUGGCGGACGGGUGAGGAAUACAUCGGAAUCUACUUUUUCGUGGGGGAUAACGUAGGGAAACUUACGCUAAUACCGCAUACGACCUACGGGUGAAAGCAGGGGAUCUUCGGACCUUGCGCGAUUGAAUGAGCCGAUGUCGGAUUAGCUAGUUGGCGGGGUAAAGGCCCACCAAGGCGACGAUCCGUAGCUGGUCUGAGAGGAUGAUCAGCCACACUGGAACUGAGACACGGUCCAGACUCCUACGGGAGGCAGCAGUGGGGAAUAUUGGACAAUGGGCGCAAGCCUGAUCCAGCCAUACCGCGUGGGUGAAGAAGGCCUUCGGGUUGUAAAGCCCUUUUGUUGGGAAAGAAAAGCAGCAGGUUAAUACCCCGCUGUUCUGACGGUACCCAAAGAAUAAGCACCGGCUAACUUCGUG
rnacentral:rRNA from 1 species